UUAGUCGCAAUCAAUAUACCGUAGACAGCAACGGGGAAACCUUAAUUAUGUUGCCGAGGUGAUAUUGUCAACUCACAUUGACAAAACUCCCUCGUUUUAGGGAGUUUUUUAACGGAUAU
rfam:Candidatus Stoquefichus sp. KLE1796 genomic scaffold Scaffold220, whole genome shotgun sequence.